CGCGGGAUUACUCCUACGGAGGCAGCAGUAAGGAAUAUUGCUCAAUGGCCGAAAGGCUGAAGCAGCAACGCCGCGUGGAGGAUGAAAUACUUUUGUAUGUAAACUCCUGUAAGAAGGGAAAAAUAUUCCGAUUUAUCGGGAUUGAUUGUACCUUCAGAGUAAGCCCCGACUAACUACGUGCCAGCAGCCGCGGUAAUAAUCACUAGU
rnacentral:rRNA from 1 species